rnacentral:rRNA from 1 species
AUACGUAGGGUGCGAGCGUUAAUCGGAAUUACUGGGCGUAAAGCGUGCGCAGGCGGUUUUUUAAGAUAGGCGUGAAAUCCCCGGGCUUAACCUGGGAACUGCGCUUAUGACUGGGAGACUAGAGGACGGCAGGGGGGGGUGGAAUUCCACGUGUAGCAGUGAAAUGCGUAGAGAUGAGGAGGAACACCAAUGGCGAAGGAGGCCCCCUGGGCCGAUCCUGACGCUGAUGCACGAAAGCGUGGGGAGCAAACAGGAUUAGAUACCCUGGUAGUCCACGCCCUAAACGAUGUCAACUAGGUGUUGGGUGGGUAAAACCAUUUAGUACCGUAGCUAACGCGUGAAGUUGACCGCCUGGGGAGUACGGCCGCAAGGUUAA